CACACUCAUACAAUUAAAAUUGCACCUGUCUUUUAACAUUCUUAUGAACAAACUUUGUUACCUCUGUAGUCUCAUAGUCACUGCCGACGCCAUAUGCCAGGUACAUGUUUACAUCUCACAACAGGAUUGGUACGUAGGCUACUAGCAAAUAUUAAAGUUUUUAAAUGCAAAAUACUGUGAUCUAAUAAUGAUCUAAAUGUAUGUGAGAGUCUUCAAAUAUCAGGUGAAAUCCUUCAUUUCAUAUUCAGAGCUUAAAUCCGCUCAUUUAUCUUUUUUUUUUUUUUUCUCUCUCCAUUUCAGUGUCUGCCAAAACUGGGCAUGUCUUAUGAGCCCAUGAGUCCUAUGAGCCAUCAAAUAGGGAAAUUUGUUGUGGUAGUUUUUGAUGUCCACUGAAUUAAUAUGGUAAUUGUUCCUCGGCAGAAUCACGUAUAUUUAUCGAAACGAUAAGCUUACUCCCUGAAAGUCCAAACUAUUGUAUGUUAAACUAAAUUAAUGUGUUCUUUAUUAUCAUCAGUUCAGGUCUACUUGUGCGCAUUAAAUUUGCCUCCUUCCAAUUCAAAAAGCUUAAGGUUUCACAGCAGUCUUCAAGCUUGUCCAUUGACUCAGAUAAAUUCUCUGACCAAAUGGAAUCUUAACUAAUCCCAGCUACACACAAAAGACUGCAAUAGCUUCAUGCCAUCUAUUAGAUACUUUCAUUUUAGUUUAUUCAGAUGCCAUUGCACAACAUGCCAAGUCACAUGGUAGAAAAACAGGUUUUGUAUGGGGAAAGCAUAUACAUUAUGAACUGUGAACAGUAAGACUGCCACGGACCGGUACUUUCACUCCAGAUUUUGUUUGUGUAUUCCCAUCUCAUUUUGAAAUGGUGUGACAUUUACUUUAUUCUUUCUGAAACCAUUGUUUAGUAAUAUAAAACUGUUUUAUUUGGAUAAUCUGUGGAUAAUCAGGUCGUAAAUAAUAAAUACAUUUAUUUAUUACAUGUUUCAAAGCAAUAUGGAAAUACUAAACCAGCAAGGGAAUGAGAGCAUCAGUCAGUGGCACUGUUGCCAUAUUUUGUACCUUUAGGUAGUGAGGUUACUGUGAUUGAUUUGGUGAACAUCAUCCCUGCUUAGAGUCAUUCCCAAGAAUUGUGUUAAUCUCUUGGUGGCUUGUCAGUGAGGGGCACUUCAAAAACUAAAUUAGCCAAAUAUUUAACCUCUUGAUGCUCCCUCUAGACUGACCAAGUCACACUAGGUUCUGUAUGUCAAUAUUUGUGUAAAAGUAUGAACUAAAAAAAAAAAAAAAAAAAAAAAAUUAUACAUUUUACACAAAUUGACACUACUAAUGAAACUUAAUAAGAAGCUUUUCUCAGAUAGGUAGCUGUGCCUGAGAUUGGUACAGUCCAACAUUUCAAAAUGGGGUAAUGUGAGUUGAACUGCCGUAUUGCUUCAUAAAACACAGAGGGAACCUGCUCAAGUUUCUCUCUCUCUCUCUCUCUCUCUCUCUCUCUCUCUCUCUCUCUCUCUCUCUCUCUCUCUCUCUCUCUCUCUCUCUCUCUCUCUCUCUCUCUCUCUCUCUCAUGCACACAUUUUAUAUUAUAGUAGUACUUGACCCAUUCAUAUUUCUAUAGGUUUUUCAUUUGGCAGCUCAUAGUCACAUUUACCAACCCUGUUGUGAUAACUGGAUUUGUUAAUUUUGGAAUUAAUGAAAUCCCACCCUCUGUAAUAGUAGUAUUUUGAAUGUGUCUGCUUGAAGAAAGAACAUGAAUACAAUGACAUGAAAAAUGUUAUUGCUUCCACUACUUCCACGUGUGAUAUAGUAGUGUAUAGUACAUAUUUUACUAUGCAAGUAAGUAUAUGCAAGUAAGCAUAUGAUCCUUUGUUACAUUUUCUUGACAUCCAUCGGGUUUGUACAACAACGUCAAUGGCCAUAAUGUGGAGUGCUUGCAAGAGAUGGUGAAGAAGAGGCCAAAGGUUACACUGCUGAUCACUGUCUCCAACCAUUACUCCUGCACUGAUGACCCUGCACUCUAGGAGUACAAGUUGACACAGGCUUUGUCCAGCCAGACCAACCUGUAUCUGCAUGACCUAAGUGUGUUGAAGUGGCGGCACCUGUGGAGUGCCAUCACCAUCUGCUGGUCUCCUGCUACCCAUGACAUUGGUGUACCAGUGUGAAGAUUUUAUUUUCUUUCAGCUUCAGGCAACCCAGGGAGUUUAGUAGCAACUACACUAUGAAGAUUUAGCCACAGUCCUUUGACCAAUUGUGGAAAAAUGUUUGGUUUACAACACAACCAUCUCUUAGGAAUUCCUAUGCCUGUCUUAUUGCUGCCCUCCAGUAUGUGCAAAAUUGUUUGUGAUGGGAUGUACACCACUGAAUUGGGUCCAUAUUUCAGUUGUAGUGACUGUAUUAUGAUACUAGAGAUGAAGUAUAGGAAAACUGAAUUGAAAGACUCAAAAUGUAAAUGUAGAGAUUGAGCUUGCAUAUUUAUUGUUUGCAGGUGGCAGGCUCAUAUAUAUAUAUAUAUAUAUAUAUAUAUAUAUAUAUAUAUAUAUAUAUAUAUAUAUAUAUAUAUAUAUAUAUAUAUAAAUCAAUUAAUUAUUUUUAUCCCUCUCCAUUAGUAAAUUAUUCUGUUUUACAUAAUCUAUAUUAUUUGGGCACAGCAACAACAAAAUGCAGUGAUAAGAAGUGUCAUGUCUACAGAGGUGUUGGCUGAUUCUUUGUUUUAUACAUUAUUUCUUCACUUUCCAUAAAUUUUGUAUAAGAAAGAGAGAAAGAAAGAGAGCUUGGAUAACUAUUUUAGUUUAUACCUAUGAUAUCAGAUUGUAGUAUCAAACUAUUGUAGUUGCACUGUACUGAGUAUAUGUUCUUUGUAAUGUACAUAUUUUGACUGCUGUUUAGGAGCACAAGGUUUAGCUGCUUAUUAUUAUGUUUUACUUUUAAGUCAAGCUGGAAAGUGCAGAAGGCCAGGCUAAGUAUGAGUUAUAACUGCAAAACAGCAAAAUUUCUUGAGUUUAAUAAUCUAAAAACAUUCUAUAUAUGAAAUAACUCAGAUUAAUACAUACAGUAUAGAUGCAAAACACUGGUUAUUCAAAGAGAGAGAGACAGAGAGAGAGAGAGAGAGAGAGAGAGAGAGAGAGAGAGAGAGAGAGAGAGAGAGAGAGAGAGAGAGAGAGAGAGACUAGACAUAAAAGAGAUGAAGGAACAGGAAGGAUUGGGUUAGAAGGGAAAUUUAGAGAGAGAGAGAGAGAGAGAGAGAGAGAGAGAGAGAGAGAGAGAGAGAGAGAGAGAGAGAGAGAGAGAGAGAGAGAGAGAGAGAGAAUUUUAGUGCAAAAUAAAAAUUGUGUACACUACAACUUUUGAUGGCUUAUCAUUUUGAGGUUGGUGUUUAUUUACAAUGGUAUUGUGCAAAAAAAUCUAAGGUCAUUGUUUUUUGUAUCUGAUAUAUAGGACAACCCACUUUUUUGUGUCAUUUUAGAAUGAUUCAAGUGCCGUCUUAUAUGGCAAGAUAUAUGGUACUUCAUGUUUUCUUUUACUAUAUUUUUUCUAUAAUUUAGGUUUUUCAUUCAAUUCAAUGUUUAGAGUACAACAUAAAUAAAAAAAAAAAAAAAAUAGGGGGAUUUGGGACCUGGAAUGGAUUAAUUUUUUUACAUUAAUAUGAAUGGGAUAAAUUG